rnacentral:rRNA from 1 species
AGUGAACGCUGGCGGCGUGCUUAACACAUGCAAGUCGAACGAGAACGGAUUAUAGCUUGCUAUAAUUGUCAGCUAAGUGGCGCACGGGUGAGUAAUGUAUAGGUAAUAUGCCUCUUACUAAGGGAUAACAAAUGGAAACGUUUGCUAAUACCUUAUACUCCUUAUUAACAGAUGUUAAUAAGGGAAAGAUUUAUUGGUAAGAGAUUAGCCUGUAUUGUAUCAGUUAGUUGGUGGGGUAAUGGCUUACCAAGACUAUGACACAUAACUGGUUUGAGAGGAUGAUCAGUCACACUGGAACUGGUACACGGUCCAGACUCCUGCGGGAGGCAGCAGUGGGGAAUAUUGCACGAUGGACGAAAGUCUGAUGCAGCAACGCCGCGUGGAGGAUGACACAUUUCGGUGCGUAAACUCCUUUUAUAUGAGAAGAUAAUGACGGUAUUAUAUGAAUAAGCACCGGCUAACUCCGUGCCAGCCGCCGCAGUAA